ACCCACCAAAACCCAACUCAAACCCUCAGCCCCACAGAUCUCAUAUUCCAUUUCCAUGGACCCGAACGCUUUCAAACUGAAAGCAGAUGAAUUUCCAGUAGAUGAAACAUUCUUAAAGAAAUUUGGUCCAACAGAUAAAAGAAACUGAAGACGAACCACGUAAAGGUAACUGGGUUGAAAGAAAUUGGGCACCUUGGGAAGAGAUUCUCUCUCCUGAAGCUGAUUUUGCUAGAAGAAUUUCAAAUGAAGGUGAAGAAGUAGCAUUAACAUCACCUGAAGCAAUUGAAGCUUUUAGAAUGUUAAGACAAACACAAGAUUGGAAGAAGAGUUUUAUAAGCUUGAGCUUCCAUUCUACUAUCCUGGAUAGGUAAAUUAUUGAUGAUUUUGUGGUGAAAUUUAAUCUUCAAAUAGUUACCAGCUGAUAUACGUGGUGUACCAUGUGUUUGUGGCCGAGCUGAAGCUAGAGGUGGUGUACUAGUUUGUGAUGGUUGUGAUAGACAGUUUUAUUUGGGUUGUUGCUGAAAGUGUUCUCGUCAAGCUAUUGUUUUAGAAGAUUGGAUCUGUUCUUCUUGUUUAGACAGAAUGGUGUUGGUAUUAAGAGAUGGAACUUGGGUUGUGUUUUCAUUAACGUUACUGUUGCUAAUUCCUCCUCCGACGAAUAAACAUACUGCUGUUAGGCCGCUUUUGGAUAUCAAUGUUUCUCCUCCUGGAGAUGCAGAUGUUUUUAAAGAGUUUGGAACGACAUUCUAGGAUGCAUACCUGGGUGAUACCCGUUUUAGUGGCUUUCCGUAUGGUACUCCUGUGAAGUAUCGAAUCUUGUGGCAUCCAGGUGCUGGAUCUGAUGUACAUAAAUUCACACCCCAUCAAAAUAGCUUCUGAAAGGUUCUUAGUCCGCAGACCAACUAUGAAUAAGAGUUAUGAGGAGGCAGAUUUGCACCCUACUCAUAUGAGAAGAUUUUGGAGUAAUAGUUUCUUUAAUUCCUCCCAGAAGGAAGGUGCUUGCUAGACACUCAAGAACUAAUGGUUUUGCUGAUAACCGAGAAGCUCUAAGGAAUAGUUGAAGUGGGGAUUUAUCUUCUGAUGUCGAGAUUGUGGAACCUCAUGCCAGCAAUCUUGGGAGAAGCGCAAGAGUUAAGAAGGACAGGGGAGAAACGGUGGCUGUGCCUCUGGUCGAUCUAAUGAUGGACUUCCGGUUCAGUUUGAAGAUCUCUUCCUUACCUGUUCAAGGAAGGUUGAUUCUCAACCAUCAUAUCAUGAUAGGAGCCGUAUCAGGCCUGUUGGUUACAGAUCUAGUUGGCAUGAUAAGGUUGCUGGAUCUGUUUAUUUGUUUGAUGUACCGGAUGGUGGAAGCUCUAGACCAGUCUUCAAGGUCAGACGAUAUACUUGCUCUGCAUCGGUCAUAUCCGAUGCGUCAAUAGUCCUACUAAGACAAAUUCUUGGUCAGUCCGAAGGUGAAAGCUAAGUAGAAAGUGGAACAGUCACUUUGUCAGACACUAGUGAUACCGAGGUCGCUGACAUUCAGGAUGAAGUUGGUGAGUUUUUGCUGAAGGAAGGUCAUCAACUUCAGCCGUGAAGCCUUUGAGAAUUCUUGCGGUGUUCAGUUCUGUUGCACCCAUGAGUCAAAUAGUAAUCUGUUGCAGAUGCCAAGGACAGAAAUGGUGUUGGUUCCCUGUCCACUUUUAGGUUGCCUCAAGAACAGAUGAUGGUGUCUAAAUAGAGUCUGCCUUAGUCAAACCCUUGGGUGCUAUAAUAGUGAUCCAUGCAGCUAAUCACAUGUUGUGAGACAACUAGACAAGAUUGGCAGGAAAGAGAAGUGAUGUUGCUGUUGGCGUGUGGGUUUUGGGAGAAUUUUCCUGCCGGAAGAGGUAAGGAGAGGAGCUAUGUAUUUCUCUAAGAAAUCAAAUUUUGGGUUUUGAUUGAUUUUACGUUUACCCAUUGUUGAUGGCCAGUUUCACAAUUUUAUACAAAUGUGACUCCAUUAAACUUGUCAGAUAU